AUCACCAGCAACCGUGAGAUAUACGGGAUCAGCGGCAGGUUCAGUAUCAGCAGCACCAAGUUGCCAAAGUACAUCGAGAUGAUGACCGACCAGAAUACAUCCGGGUUAUCGACAAACAGACGCGGGCC
rnacentral:ncRNA from 1 species